CAAUUACAUCACAAAGAUGGAGGCUAGAACAGUCAAGCCCCUACAGCCAACCCUGUCUCUCAAGGCUAACCUGUCACUUUUGAAGAAAAAUACUACAAAAAUACUUACAUGAUGUUCAUUGCCUCAAGAGACUGGUGCUUUUAAGUUGAACCUUACCACCACUUUGAGGCCAGGAUUAUGCUAAGAAGAUUAAGGUCCCUCCGAAUAUUCAGAACUUUUGUCUCCCUGCUGUCAGCAACCAAGGAAGCUGGCAAACGCUGGUCUCACACAGUAACAUUUAGUGCCGGUCAACACACCGUAUGGGCUAACAUCUGAGCCCAGAAAUAGGAAA